AAAUUGAAGAGUUUGAUCAUGGCUCAGAUUGAACGCUGGCGGCAGGCCUAACACAUGCAAGUCGAGCGGAAACGACAACAUUGAAUCUUCGGAGGAUUUGUUGGGCGUCGAGCGGCGGACGGGUGAGUAAUGCCUAGGAAAUUGCCUUGAUGUGGGGGAUAACCAUUGGAAACGAUGGCUAAUACCGCAUAAUGCCUACGGGCCAAAGAGGGGGACCUUCGGGCCUCUCGCGUCAAGAUAUGCCUAGGUGGGAUU
rnacentral:rRNA from 1 species